UAGGGAAUCUUCCGCAAUGGGCGAAAGCCUGACGGAGCAACGCCGCGUGAGUGAUGAAGGUCUUCGGAUCGUAAAACUCUGUUAUUAGGGAAGAACAAAUGUGUAAGUAACUAUGCACGUCUUGACGGUACCUAAUCAGAAAGCCACGGCUAACUACGUGCCAGCAGCCGCGGUAAUACGUAGGUGGCAAGCGUUAUCCGGAAUUAUUGGGCGUAAAGCGCGCGUAGGCGGUUUUUUAAGUCUGAUGUGAAAGCCCACGGCUCAACCGUGGAGGGUCACUGGAAACUGGAAAACUUGAGUGCAGAAGAGGAAAGUGGAAUUCCAUGUGUAGCGGUGAAAUGCGCAGAGAUAUGGGGGAACACCAGUGGCGAAGGCGACUUUCUGGUCUGUAACUGACGCUGAUGUGCGAAAGCGUGGGGAUCAAACAGG
rnacentral:rRNA from 1 species